CAAUAAUAAUAUGUCAAAAGGGGAAUAAUUCAAUUUUCGCUUUUGUAAUUAUUUUAGAAGAAAGUUAAGUUAUUUCCCAUUACAUUGCUAGCAGUGUUACCUUCUAUGGCGGAAUCUGAGAAACUAAAGAAUAUUAUUUUUCGUUGUUUUGUGUGCAUUACAUACUUUCAUGAUAUUGAGUUUUUGGAUAGACUGCUUAAAUAUCUAAUGAAAAAAGUACCUAAAAAAAGUUAAGCAUUGUUUAGUUAAAUGUACACUGUAUAUUGGCCUCAAAGGUUGUGUAUGUUUAUUGACAUGUAAAUUUGAAAUAAAUGUUCAUGUUUUUUGCA